rnacentral:rRNA from 1 species
GACGAACGCUGGCGGCGUGCCUAACACAUGCAAGUCGAACGGGGCAGCCCCUUCGGGGACUGCUUAGUGGCGAACGGGUGAGUAACGCGUGAGGAACCUGCCUUUCAGUGGGGGACAACAGUUGGAAACGACUGCUAAUACCGCAUAACAUCUUCGGGGGGCAUCCCCUGAAGAUCAAAGCUUUAUGUGCUGAAAGAUGGCCUCGCGUCUGAUUAGCUAGUUGGUGAGGUAACGGCCCACCAAGGCGACGAUCAGUAGCCGGUCUGAGAGGAUGAACGGCCACAUUGGGACUGAGAUACGGCCCAG